GACGAACGCUGGCGGCGUGCCUAAUACAUGCAAGUCGAACGAGUGGCGGACGGGUGAGUAACACGUGGGAACCUACCCAUCAGAGGGGGAUAACACUUGGAAACAGGUGCUAAUACCGCAUACGAUCGGAUGUGCUGGGAUGUGAUUCGCUCGUGGGUGUGGUAAGGGCUGACCCAGGCGACGAAGCCUAGCAGGUCUGAGAGGGUGACCAGCCACACUGGAACUGAGACACGGCCCAGACUCCUACGGGAGGCAGCAGUAGGGAAUAUUGCGCAAUGGGCGAAAGCCUGAUCCAGCCAUGCCGCGUGAGUGAAGAAGGCCUUCGGGUUGUAAAGCACGUUCGGCGGGGAGGCGUUAUCCGCAGAAAAAGCACCGGCUAACUCCGUGCCAGCAGCCGCGGUAAUUC
rnacentral:rRNA from 1 species